CCAUUUCUAUUCCACUAAUACUAUUCUUCUUCUUCUUUUAACCUCUUUUAAGCACAUCUUCACCUAAAAAUUAUAAUUUUUAUACUCUAUAUGCAUUCUUUUGAUCUAAAACAACUAGUGAGUGAAUUUGAUGAUUCACACCCUUCUUUUUGCUAGACUUAAGAUGAAAAGGUGGAAGAUAUAUAUUCACUAUUUUCACACUCUUGUUGCUACUUAGUAUUCCCAAAAUCAAUGGAAUAUUGACUUUUUUCUUUCUA
rnacentral:lncRNA from 1 species